rnacentral:ribozyme from 1 species
AAUAUGCAUAUGCUUAUCGUUAUGCAUUUUUUUAUUUUCCUUUGUGGAUUAUCAUUCUAGCAAUUACUGUAAUUAUGACAACAAUGGCAUGUCAUGUUCGAAAGGUAGAAAAAGAAACAGCAAGAUAUGGAAUU